rnacentral:other from 1 species
CCUUUCCUGCGGUGUACGUUACGGCUUUUGACCAUUAACCUCAAGAAUUAAAAGGGAACUCUAGUCCACGCGCAAGAUGUCAGGCCGCAGAAAUUCUCUUAUCCUCGUGAUAACAGCAGCGGAAGGCAGACGGCGCGGGCGGUAAUCCCACCUGUCACAAGACAGGUUAUGGUUAUUGACGGACGGCACAGGCGGGAAAACC